CCCUACGGGGCGCAGCAGUGAGGAAUAUUGGUCGAUGGGCGCGAGCCUGAACCAGCCAAGUCGCGUGAGGGAAGACGGUCCUAUGGAUUGUAAACCUCUUUUGUCGGGGAGCAAAAGACGCCACGUGUGGCGUUCCGAGAGUACCCGAAGAAAAAGCAUCGGCUAACUCCGUGCCAGCAGCCGCGGUAAUACGGAGGAUGCGAGCGUUAUCCGGAUUUAUUGGGUUUAAAGGGUGCGCAGGCGGAAGAUCAAGUCAGCGGUAAAAUUGAGAGGCUCAACCUCUUCGAGCCGUUGAAACUGGUUUU
rnacentral:rRNA from 1 species